UACGUAGGGUGCGAGCGUUAAUCGGAAUUACUGGGCGUAAAGCGUGCGCAGGCGGUUUUGUAAGCCAGAUGUGAAAUCCCCGGGCUUAACCUGGGAAUGGCAUUUGGGACUGCAAGGCUUGAGUGCGGCAGAGGAGACUGGAAUUCCUGGUGUAGCAGUGAAAUGCGUAGAUAUCAGGAGGAACACCGAUGGCGAAGGCAGGUCUCUGGGCUGACACUGACGCUCAUGCACGAAAGCGUGGGGAGCAACAAGGAUAUGAACCCAG
rnacentral:rRNA from 1 species